UGGGGAAUAUUGGACAAUGGAGGAAACUCUGAUCCAGCAAUUCUGUGUGUGUGAAGAAGGUUUUAGGACUGUAAAACACUUUUAGUAGGGAAGAAAAAAAUGACGGUACCUACAGAAGAAGCAACGGCUAAAUACGUGCCAGCAGCCGCGGUAAUACGUAUGUUGCGAGCGUUAUCCGGAAUUAUUGGGCUUAAAGGGCAUCUAGGCGGUAAGACAAGUUGAAGGUGAAAACCUGUGGCUCAACCAUAGGCUUGCCUACAAAACUGUUGAACUAGAGUACUGGAAAGGUGGGUGGAACUAAACGAGUAGAGAUGAAAUUCGUAGAUAUGUGUAGGAAUGCCGAUGAUGAAGAUAACUCACUGGACAGAAACUGACGCUGAAGUGCGAAAGCUAGGGGAGCAAACAGG
rnacentral:rRNA from 1 species